UCCCUGGUGGCUCAGAUGGUAAAGCGUCUGCCUGCCAUGCGGAAGACCCAGGUUCGAUUCCUGGAUUGGGAA
rnacentral:tRNA from 1 species